rnacentral:miRNA from 1 species
ACACACACACAUACACACAUACACACAUACACACACAUAUAUAUAUAUAUAUAUGUGUGUGUGUGUGUGUGUGUGUGUGUGUGUGUGUGU